rnacentral:rRNA from 1 species
GAUGAACGCUGGCGGCGUGCCUAAUACAUGCAAGUCGAGCGAACAGACGAUGAGCUUGCUCCUCUUACGUUAGCGGCGGACGGGUGAGUAACACGUAGAUAACCUACCUAUAAGACUGGUAUAACUUCGGGAAACCGGAGCUAAUACCGGAUAAUAUAUUGAACCGCAUGGUUCAAUAGUGAAAGACGGUUUUGCUGUCACUUAUAGAUUGAUCCUCCCCGCAUUAGCUAGUUGGUAAGGUAACGGCUUACCAAGGCAACGAUGCGUAGCCGACCUGAGAGGGUGAUCGGCCACACUGGAACUGAGACACGGACCAGACUCCUACGGGAGGCAGCAGUAGGGAAUCUUACGCAAUGGGCGAAAGCUUGACGGAGCAACGCCGCGUGAGUGAUGAAGGUCUUCGGAUCGUAAAACUCUGCUAUUAGGGAAGAACAAAUGUGUAAGUAACUAUGCACGUCUUGACGGUACCUAAUCAGAAAGCCACGGCUAAAUACGUG